AGGUCAUUAGAGGAGUAAAAGUCGUAACAAGGUUUCCGUAGGUGAACCUGCGGAAGGAUCAUUACAAAUCUCAGUGCCGCUCGCGGCACGUUUGCGCGGGGCGCGAGCCCCGACGUUUACGCGUUCAUGUUUUUGACUGUACGAAUGAAGCCACAUAGACAACUUUUAACAAUGGAUCUCUAGGCUCUUGCAACGAUGAAGAACGCAGUAAAGUGCGAUACGUAGUGCGAUUUGCAUGAAUCUGUGAGUCAUCUAAUCUUUGAACGCAACUUGCGCCCCCUUGGGGCAUGUCUGUUUGAGAACCGCAACAACCUAACCCCCCGGGGUUGAGCUGCACCGUGCUGCGCAGCGGCUGGUGCGAAAGGCAGCAGGAGAGGGCGCGGAGCCGACCAUGUGCUGGGACCUCGGUCACGUCAUGGCGCGGCGACCAAGCCCGAUAUCAAACAUUUGGUCUCAAAUCAGGCAAGACUACCCGCUGAACUUAA
rnacentral:rRNA from 1 species